GGGGUUGUGGCUCAGUGGUAGAGUACUCACCUAGCAUGUGCAAGGCCCUGGGUUCAAUCCUCAGCACCACA
rnacentral:tRNA from 1 species